rnacentral:rRNA from 1 species
UACGAAGGGGGCUAGCGUCGUUCGGAAUUACUGGGCGUAAAGCGCACGUAGGCGGGUCGUUAAGUCAGGGGUGAAAUCCCGGAGCUCAACUCCGGAACUGCCUUUGAUACUGGCGAUCUUGAGAUCGGAAGAGGCGAGUGGAAUUCCCAGUGUAGAGGUGAAAUUCGUAGAUAUUGGGAAGAACACCAGUGGCGAAGGCGGCUCACUGGUCCGAUACUGACGCUGAGGUGCGAGAGCGUGGGGAGCAAACAGG